GGUUACAUCAUGUUGAAACACCUGUUCUCGUACGCUCAGCGAAGUUAAGCAGUGUUGAGCCUGGUCAGUACCUAGAUGGGCGAACUCUUCGGGAAACCAGAUGC